UACGGAGGGGGCUAGCGUUGUUCGGAAUUACUGGGCGUAAAGCGCACGUAGGCGGCUUUGCAAGUCAGAGGUGAAAGCCCGGGGCUCAACCCCGGAAUUGCCUUUGAGACUGCAUCGCUAGAAUUGUGGAGAGGUAAGUGGAAUUCCGAGUGUAGAGGUGAAAUUCGUAGAGACCCGGAGGAACACCAGUGGCGAAGGCGGCUCACUGGCCCGAUACUGACGCUGAGGCACGAAAGCGUGGGGAGCAAACAGG
rnacentral:rRNA from 1 species